rnacentral:rRNA from 1 species
GCAUGCCUACAUCAUAGUGUUAAUUCACCGGAUCCCAUUAGAACUCUGCAGUUAAGCAUGCUCGGACUAGAGUAGUACUAUGAUAGGUGACCACUUGGGAAGUCCUAGUGUUUUACAUGCC